rnacentral:rRNA from 1 species
UACGAAGGGGGCUAGCGUUGCUCGGAAUGACUGGGCGUAAAGGGCGCGUAGGCGGUUUGCACAGUCAGAUGUGAAAUUCCUGGGCUCAACCUGGGGGCUGCAUUUGAUACGUGUAGACUUGAGUGGGGAAGAGGGUCGUGGAAUUCCCAGUGUAGAGGUGAAAUUCGUAGAUAUUGGGAAGAACACCGGUGGCGAAGGCGGCGACCUGGUCCUUGACUGACGCUGAGGCGCGAAAGCUAGGGGAGCAAACAGG